CCUACGGGAGGCAGCAGUAGGGAAUCUUGCGCAAUGCGCGAAAGCGUGACGCAGCAACGCCGCGUGGGGGAAGAAGGCCUUCGGGUUGUAAACCCCUUUCAGGAGGGACGAAGGUGCGGCGGCGAACAGCCGUCCGUACUGACGGUACCUCCAGAAGAAGCCCCGGCUAACUACGUGCCAGCAGCCGCGGUAAUACGUAGGGGGCAAGCGUUGUCCGGAAUCAUUGGGCGUAAAGCGCGCGUAGGCGGCCCGGUAAGUCCGCUGUAAAAGUCCAGGGCUCAACCCUGGAAAGCCGGUGGAUACUGUCGGGCUCGAGUCCGGAAGAGGCGAGUGGAAUUCCUGGUGUAGCGGUGGAAUGCGCAGAUAUCAGGAGGAACACCGAUGGCGAAGGCAGCUCGCUGGGACGGUACUGACGCUGAGGCGCGAAAGCGUGGGGAGCG
rnacentral:rRNA from 1 species